GGGAAAUCCAUUUAUCAUAAAAACAUAGAAUGUGAUGGCAGAUAAGAACCAUUAGGCCCAUCUAAUCUGUCCAAUUUUCUAAAUACUUUCAUUAGUCCCUGGAUUUAUUUUAAAUCUAGGAUAGCCUUAUGCCUAUCCCAUGCAUGCUUAAACUCCCUCACUGUGUUAAAGGGACUCUCCAGUGCCAGGAAAACAGACACUGCAGGUCCC